rnacentral:rRNA from 1 species
UACGGAGGGUGCAAGCGUUAUCCGGAUUCACUGGGUUUAAAGGGUGCGUAGGUGGGCAGGUAAGUCAGUGGUGAAAUCUCCGGGCUUAACCGAGAAAUUGCCAUUGAUACUGUAGGGCUUGAGUAUAGUUGCCGUUGGCGGAAUAUGACAUGUAGUGGUGAAAUACAUAGAGAUGUCAUAGAACACCGAUUGCGAAGGCAGCUGACGAAACUAUAACUGACACUGAGGCUCGAAAGUGCGGGGAUCAAACAGG